UACGUAGGGGGCGAGCGUUGUCCGGAUUCAUUGGGCGUAAAGAGCUCGUAGGCGGCUUGGCAAGUCGGGCGUGAAAUCCCCGAGCUUAACUCGGGAUGGUCGUUCGAUACUGCUAUGGCUUGAGUCUGGUAGGGGAGCAUGGAAUUCCUGGUGUAGCGGUGAAAUGCGCAGAUAUCAGGAGGAACACCGGUGGCGAAGGCGGUGCUCUGGGCCAGUACUGACGCUGAGGAGCGAAAGCGUGGGGAGCGAACAGG
rnacentral:rRNA from 1 species